UGUGGGAGUUCAAUCCUUGAGGGGGUCAUUUAGGUAUCUGGGGCAAAAAUUGGGGAUUGGUCCUGCUUUGAGCAGGGGGUUGGACUAGAUGAUCUCCUCAGGUCCCUUCCAAACCCGAUAUUCUAUGACUUUAUGACUCACAAAGUCAUCUUAUUUCUAGAUUUGCUUUGGAUCAG